AAGGGUAUAGCUCAGUGACAGAAUACAUGCCUAACAUGCAGGAGGUCCUGGGUUCAAUACCCAGUACCUCCA
rnacentral:tRNA from 1 species